UUCAAAGCACAUAAAGACCAUAAAUAUAUGACCAACCUUUUCACAUGUAUACCCAUUCCUUUCUCUGAUCAUGAAUAUACUAGAGGGUGCAAGCUUUAAUGAGUGUUUUAUUGAAUUAACACAGGACUUUUGGAUUGCUGUUUCAAACUGGUAGUGUAUCCCCAAAAUACCCAAGCCGAAAAAAAACUACUGAGAGCAAGAACUUACCCAUCUCACAUAACAAAGUCUGGGACCAAAACACAAAACAAACCCAAUAACUAAUUGAGAAUAAAUAAAAUUUUAUUUAAUGAAUAAAGAAACAGUCCAUUACAUCCUCUAAACUGCUUUUUAAAACAUCCAGGUUGAAUUAAAUACUGGUUCUUAAUUUUUCUUUUUCUAAUUGCAAAGUUUCCAAACAAAACACAACCUCCAAUAAAUCUUUAAGAAAGCACAACUAGGAAACAGCAACGGGUGUCAUGGAGAUGAUGUGGGCUACUGGAAUACAAUACCAUAUACUUCGUGGAGAAAGACACAGUAAAUGCUCACAAACAUUUUGGCUUAAGCGAUCAUUGGUUUUCAUUUCCAAAGAAUAUCUAACAUGCACGAUGCAGAGGAAAGGAAUAAAAGCCAAGAUCCAUUAAUUGCUUUCUAGUAAUAGAGACGAAAUAUACAGUUUAUAUAGUUCACACAUUUCAAAAUGGUUACUAAAAUAGUUUUUCCAUUAGGAUUUCAAUAACCAAAAAGGUACUUUAGAAAAUAAGUUGACUCUAGCUUCCUGAGAUGGAAGCAUAUCAUGUUUGUGAGGCUUCUGGGGCCUGGUGUGUUUUCAAGUGGAAAGAACUCAUGCAGGAAGAGAAAGGAAAAGCAUAAGAUGUGUCCCUUGACCAUGAUUGAAUUGUUAGCUGUGUGUGUGUGUGUGUGUGUGUGUGUGUGUGUGUGCGCGCACAUGCCUUUGGGCACAAGAACUCUGUCAGUUCUCAUGGCUGAAAUGAAUCAUGGAGUUUAAAUUCAGACUUGAUGUAGCUAAGAAUUUGAAAACAGAGACCAAAGGAUAUGUUCAUUUUUGAGGGUCCAUAUCCAUCUGUUAUCCUAAGGUUGAUUCAUUUCAACAUAAGGCUAAUGACAUGCUAGUAUGGAACACUUCUUCAUUAGAGCCUAGAGAAGUACAAUGGAGUUGUCCUGAACUGUGUGAGCCAGAAAGGAAUACAGGGACUCUCUUGCUAUUUCUCUGUGCACUGCGGAGUCAUUAUUUCAACUAGCUUCUAUCAUAGACGCAGGAUUCUGAGUUCCCUUAGGCUAUUCUGCCUGUGUUGAAAUAAAUUUCCCUGGAAUCUGCCUGUAGAAAGCAGAUAGGAUAUUUCUUGAAUUUAUUUAAUUUUUCUCCAGAUUGUUUUCAACCACAUAGCAUCUUGGAAGAAGAAAUUCCCCCACUGUGUACUACCUUUCUCAGGAAAUACAAAGUAGUGGGACCGGGAAGAAAUGUGAACUUUUUAAACAAAUUAACUACUUACUUUGGAGAAAAAUAUUUUUACCAUUUUCUCUGGAUUGAAAAACCCCUCCUAUUACUUUUUUAAAGGGUCUCUACAGUAAACUUCAUAAGUAUUUAUUUAUCCUACCCUCCAUCCUGGGAAAGUCUCAGAUAUUUUGUUUAUUUCACAGAUAAAGAAACAGAGACUCCAGAAUUAUAGCAAAAUUAGAGAACGUAUCUGAAAUUCAUCUGAAUGAUUAAAAUCCGUAUUGGAAUUCAUCUGAGAAUUCCUAGGCAUAAGGAGUUCUCCGAAUGCUAUUAAAUAUUUUAUAGAUUUUUAUCUUGACAGGAAGAUAAUGAGAGAGAAGAGUAGGUCAUGAAACUUAAUGCUAAAGCUUGGAAAAAAUAAGUGAAAUUUAAUCAGAAAAGAGGAUAUGGUAUCUCUGAAAUCAAAAUACUGAGAAAGUAAAAGUUAAUUAACCAGUGUGUGUUAAAAAUACAGUUACACUCAAAUUAUCUCAUUUGAAUUAUUUCAGGGUUUUACCUCUCUUUAAAAUACACAGUAAAAUGGGACUUCCCUGGUGGCGCAGUGAUGAUUUUAGGGUCAUGAAAAAUAUAGGAUGAAGAGUACUAGAAACUUCCCUUUAAUAAAAAUAGACUUUUGCCCAAAGAAGCAGCACUUGACAUGCCUUUUUUCUUACCUCCCCCACUAGAUUGUAAGCUUUCUGCAGGCAGGGACUGUGUCUUAUCAUAUUUGUGUAUGGCCCAUAGUCUCUAGCAUAGCGUCUUAUACAGCGGACACACAUAUGAGUUUUUGAGUGAAUGAAUUUAUUUUUAUGCUGGAAAUCCUUGCCUUGAAGUGAAGAAAAUGUCAAGCCUUUCUAAGCAAUUACUAUUUGUUCACUUGAGUAAGAUGCCAGCUGAGGAUGUCUGGCUCAGAGAACACCAAGGACUUGGGCACAAGGAGUUGGUAACAGACACUCCAAUUCAUUUCCCUGGUGAAUCUGGAGCAAACUGUGCCGUGAUGACCAUCCCUAGGGUAAUUUUUUGACUGGUGCAUACUUUGUAGAUUUCUCUAAUGUAAGAUUCAGUCAUCCAACAAAUAGUUAUCGAAUGUCUACUUUGUGCUAAGCACUCUUCUAGGCACUAGGAUAUCACAGUGAACUUAAGUCUAAAAAUUCCUUAAGUGGAGAGGCAGGUUUUGAAUUAGUGGGUUAGAAUAAAGAUGCACAUUCCCUGUCCCUCCCACUUUCUCAGUUAGCAUAGUAUUUUCUGUAUAGAAAGUGCAAUUUGACUAAUCUCAAAGCAGUUCACAACUAUUAAAGACCUCUCCUACAGCCACUGCUUUGCUCGGGCAAAUGAAAAAUCAAAAACCGCUCUCCCAUCACUUCCUCUUCUAGUUUGCAUUUCUUCCUUUCUCACUGCUUCAUAUACUUGCAGACUUUUGGGGCAAAAGGGGAGAAGCGGGAGAGUCAAUAUUCUUUGGGCAGAUGAUGAUGAUGCCUGAAUAUUUUUUCAAGUGGCAACUGAAGCUUGUAGUUGUAAAAGUGACCCCACAGAAGAUUUCCUUCUGGUUGGUUUAUUAACAACCUUUUAGUUCUAGAGCCUAGGGAUAUAUAUAUAUAUAUA